AUUGAACGCUGGCGGCAGGCCUAACACAUGCAAGUCGAACGAGUGGCGGACGGGUGAGUAAUGUCUGGGAAACUACCUGAUGGAGGGGGAUAACUACUGGAAACGGUAGCUAAUACCGCAUACCAUCAGAUGUGCCCAGGGGGGAUUAGUUUGUUGGUGGGGUAACGGCUCACCAAGGCGACGAUCCCUAGCUGGUCUGAGAGGAUGACCAGCCACACUGGAACUGAGACACGGUCCAGACUCCUACGGGAGGCAGCAGUGGGGAAGAUUGCACAAUGGGCGCAAGCCUGAUGCAGCCAUGCCGCGUGAAUGAAGAAGGCCUUCGGGUUGUAAAGUACUUUCAGCGGAGAGGCGUUACCUGCAGAAGAAGCACCGGCUAACUCCGUGCCAGCCGCCGCGGUAAUUG
rnacentral:rRNA from 1 species